GGCAGCUACUUCCCUUGCGACAAGUGCAACAAAGAGUACUGUGCGAUCUCGUUCUUGAGGUUGUUCCAGAUAGGUGUACGUUUGCAUGGGAUUAAUGAAGACUCUGUCAACUUCAGAAACUCCCACCAUGCUGUCAGAGAAGAGCUGAUGUUGACGCUUUUAAAGCAUUCAUGUCGUUGGAUGUUUGAGCUGAUAAAUGUGGAGUAGAAGAGGAAUUAUGACACCUGUUCUCCUGGCAACCACCAAAUGCAGACUCCGCUCUAUACCACCAUAUAUGAUGAUUAACCCGGGUACUUCUCAUCAGGGUUCUCACAGCAGUAGUCCCACCAGGGUUGGACUUCUGCAAUUCCUCAUUAUCAGUUAAUCUAAAAUGCUGCAUCAUAAAGAGUACUGACAGGGACUAGAAAGCUAGAGCACUGAUUCACUAACAAAGAGGGAAAAUGUUGAGAUUUUCAUCGAAUCCAGGUUAUUAUGCAGCGGAUUAACUGAUCUGACCCACUUUACAUCAAACUGAGCUGUUUGCCCUUCUAUAAAAAUAGCUGAUUUAAAAACAGAUCCAAUCAAAGAAAGAUGAACUUCCAUAUUUAUCUGAUCAAUAUGUACAGCUCUGAUGUCACUAACAUCUCUACUUGAUGCUGAUUUGUGACCCUUUUGUUAAUCCAGAUAACAGAAAAGUAUCCUGGAUAUGUUGAACUUAUCUUGUAGACCAGGCUCUGAGAGGAGAGACAGAGGAAGAUCAUGUGACUGAGAAACAGUUUAACAUUCUUAUCUAGACACUGCACAUGUUCAGGAGACAGCAGGAUCAAGCGUGUUGCUUUCAGUCAUCAUACCUUCACUAACCGUUCGAUGAUCCUUAAAAAUCCUGACUCUUUUUACUGUAAGGACAAAAAUAAAUGCCACCUUCCCAAAAACUCUUUUAAAACCACCCUGUCUACACUCUUUGAGUUUCUGUCUUAUUAUAGUGUUUUUACCUUGCAAUAUAAAUUGCAUUCCUGUGAAUUUCUGUAUAAAUAGUCAGCUCUGGAUUGUUGGAGUGUUUGACUUUAAUUAGAUGCCAUACACCAUAUGUGGUGUGACAGCCUGUUGGAUACAGUCAUUGUCCUGUCAUUUGUUUCACCACAUUUGAUUGAAGCAGCUUUAUCAACUGUUACAUGUCUGCCUGGCCAAUGUGUUUUUCCACAAGCAAUGUAGCAGCCAUCGAAGAGCAGAAUGAUUAUCCAUGCAAAGAAAGGGAUUAGGGCGAAACAGACCUUUUCACACAUUCCUUUCUUUGCGUUGUUUCAAGCAGAUGAGUGGCAAGAGU
ensembl:lncRNA